rnacentral:rRNA from 1 species
UGGGGAAUAUUGGACAAUGGGGGCAACCCUGAUCCAGCCAUGCCGCGUGUGUGAAGAAGGCCUUUUGGUUGUAAAGCACUUUAAGCAGGGAGGAGAGGCUAAUGGUUAAUACCCAUUAGAUUAGACGUUACCUGCAGAAUAAGCACCGGCUAACUCUGUGCCAGCAGCCGCGGUAAUACAGAGGGUGCGAGCGUUAAUCGGAAUUACUGGGCGUAAAGCGAGUGUAGGUGGCUCAUUAAGUCACAUGUGAAAUCCCCGGGCUUAACCUGGGAACUGCAUGUGAUACUGGUGGUGCUAGAAUAUGUGAGAGGGAAGUAGAAUUCCCAGGUGUAGCGGUGAAAUGCGUAGAGAUCUGGAGGAAUACCGAUGGCGAAGGCAGCUUCCUGGCAUAAUAUUGACACUGAGAUUCGAAAGCGUGGGUAGCAAACAGGAUUAGAUACCCUGGUAGUCCACGCCGUAAACGAUGUCUACUAGCCGUUGGGGUCCUUGAGACUUUAGUGGCGCAGUUAACGCGAUAAGC